rnacentral:snRNA from 1 species
AGACUGACCUGGCGGAGGAGACAUCAUGAUUGUAAAGGUGGCUUUCCCAGGACGAGGCUUUCCCCGCACUCCAGAUGCGCUGGCCCUGCGAUUUCCCCAGAUGUGGGAGACGCGGCUGCAUUAC